rnacentral:lncRNA from 1 species
UCCACUUUUCCAAUGACUCCAAUUCCGACAAAAGUGUCCUCUCUUUGUUUCUAUGUUGGAAGUUGUCCGACAUACAUAAUAGAAAAGAUCCUUGAAAAGUGUCCCCCAAGACAUUUUCUUAUAAUUCCCAACAUCUUUUUCAAUUCAAAGAAUGCUUUUGUCAGCAAUUUAAAGAAUGCUUCUAUAUUUAUAAAUCUAUCCAUCUUUUUAUAUACAUCUCUCUGUAUUUUCCAUGUCAGAUUGAUAGUAAAUGAAUCUCGUGACGUUAGAUGACGUCUUCCUUACACUCAAGCUUAAACCUCUCUUCUCUCCAUUUGACACUUUUUCCAAAAAUGUUUCUCACUUUGAUACAACAUAUAUAUACCAUAGUCCACAUCUAACUCGUAACUCUUUCUAUUGAAUACUAUCUACCAGUAGGUACACAUUCCAUUAAGUCAAUAUUUGAUUUCCAUCAGUUUCUUUUUUACUCUCUUCAGGAAUCCCAACUAUUUAUGUACAAGUGGAAAAAGAAAAUUUUAAAGUCAAAUUUCAUCAUUAAUACGAGUUUUUUACUUCUUUUUUUUUU